ACAACAAAGAAAGAUACUCUAGAAAGCACAGUGAGAAAUUAU
rnacentral:guide_RNA from 1 species